rnacentral:pre_miRNA from 1 species
GUCACCUGGGGAUCUUGUUAAAAUGCACAUUCUGAUUCACUAGCUCUGGGGUGGAAUGUAACAUUCUGCAUUUCUAACAAGCUCCCAGGUGAUACUAG